AUUGAACGCUGGCGGUAGGCCUAACACAUGCAAGUCGAACGGCAGCACAGUAAUAGCUUGCGCUUACGGGUGGCGAGUGGCGGGCGGGGGCGAAACACAUCGCAAUCUGCUGUUGCGUGCGUGCGAACGUAGGGGAACUUACGCUAAUAGCGCAUACGACGUACGGGUGAAAGCAGGGGAUCUUCGGCCCUUGGGUGAUUGAAUGAGCCGAUGUCGGAUUAGCUAGUUGGCGGGGUAAAGGCCCACCAAGGCGACGAUCCGUAGCUGGUCUGAGAGGAUGAUCAGCCACACUGGAACUGAGACACGGUCCAGACUCCUACGGGAGGCAGCAGUGGGGAAUAUUGGACAAUGGGCGCAAGCCUGAUCCAGCCAUGCCGCGUGGGUGAAGAAGGCCUUCGGGUUGUAAAGCCCUUUUGUUGGGGAAGAAAAGCAGUAGGUUAAUACCUCGCUGUUUUGACGGUACCAAAAGAAUAAGCACCGGCUAACUUCGUG
rnacentral:rRNA from 1 species